AUCGAACGCUGGCGGCAGGCCUAACACAUGCAAGUCGAACGAGUGGCGGACGGGUGAGUAAUGUCUGGGAAACUGCCCGAUGGAGGGGGAUAACUACUGGAAAAGGUAGCUAAUACCGCAUACCAUCGGAUGUGCCCAGAUGGGAUUAGCUUGUAGGGUAGGUAACGGCUCACCUAGGCGACGACCCCUAGCUGGUCUGAGAGGAUGACCAUCCACACUGGAACUGAGACACGGUCCAGACUCCUACGGGAGGAAGCAGUGGGGAAUAUUGCACAAUGGGCGCAAGCCUGAUGCAGCAAUGCCGCGUGUAUGAAGAAGGCCUUCGGGUUGUAAAGUACUUUCAGUGGGGAGGCGGUACCCGCAGAGAAAGCACCGGCUAACUCCGUGCCAGCCGCCGCGGUAAUUC
rnacentral:rRNA from 1 species